rnacentral:rRNA from 1 species
CGUAGGUGGCAAGCGUUGUCCGGAGUUACUGGGUGUAAAGGGCGUGUAGGCGGGAAGAUAAGUCAGAUGUGAAAUUCCAUGGCUCAACUGUGGCGCUGCAUCUGAAACUAUCUUUCUUGAGUGAUGGAGAGGAAAGCGGAAUUCCUAGUGUAGCGGUGAAAUGCGUAGAUAUUAGGAGGAACACCAGUGGCGAAAGCGGCUUUCUGGACAUUAACUGACGCUGAGGCGCGAAAGCGUGGGGAGCAAACAGGAUUAGAUACCCUGGUAGUCCACGCUGUAAACGAUGGAUACUAGGUGUAGGAGGUAUCGACCCCUUCUGUGCCGGAGUUAACACAAUAAGUAUCCCACCUGGGGAGUACGGCCGCAAGGUUG